GGCACGGGCUACCCGAGGGGCAUCACGGGCGAUAAAAUUUCGCUUUAUGCGAAGAUAAUCGCAGUCGUGUGUUCGUUCGAAUCGAUUAUUGCGCCUC
rnacentral:tRNA from 1 species